rnacentral:rRNA from 1 species
CCUACGGGUGGCUGCAGUCGAGAAUCUUCGGCAAUGAGCGCAAGCUUGACCGAGCGACGCCGCGUGCGGGAUGAAGGCCUUCGGGUUGUAAACCGCUUUCGGUUGGGAGGAAAUCGCUAGGGGUUCUCCCCUAGUGUUGACCUAUCUUCGGAAGAAGGACGGGCUAAGUUCGUGCCAGCAGCCGCGGUAAUACGAACCGUCCAAACGUUAUUCGGAUUCAUUGGGCUUAAAGGGUACGUAGGCGGCGCUUCAAGUCGGGUGUGAAAUCCCUCGGCUCAACCGAGGAACUGCGCCCGAUACUGGAGUGCUUGAGGGAGACAGAGGUAAGCGGAACUGAUGGUGGAGCGGUGAAAUGCGUUGAUAUCAUCAGGAACACCAGUGGCGAAAGCGGCUUACUGGGUCUCUUCUGACGCUGAGGUACGAAAGCUAGGGGAGCGAAC